rnacentral:rRNA from 1 species
GAUAAGGAGCUUGCUCCUUUGAAGUUAGCGGCGGACGGGUGAGUAACACGUGGGUAACCUACCUAUAAGACUGGGAUAACUUCGGGAAACCGGAGCUAAUACCGGAUAACAUUUAGAACCGCAUGGUUCUAAAGUGAAAGAUGGUUUUGCUAUCACUUAUAGAUGGACCCGCGCCGUAUUAGCUAGUUGGUAAGGUAACGGCUUACCAAGGCGACGAUACGUAGCCGACCUGAGAGGGUGAUCGGCCACACUGGAACUGAGACACGGUCCAGACUCCUACGGGAGGCAGCAGUAGGGAAUCUUCCGCAAUGGGCGAAAGCCUGACGGAGCAACGCCGCGUGAGUGAUGAAGGGUUUCGGCUCGUAAAACUCUGUUAUUAGGGAAGAACAAAUGUGUAAGUAACUGUGCACAUCUUGACGGUACCUAAUCAGAAAGCCACGGCUAACUACGUGCCAGCAGCCGCGGUAAUACGUAGGUGGCAAGCGUUAUCCGGAAUUAUUGGGCGUAAAGCGCGCGUAGGCGGUUUCUUAAGUCUGAUGUGAAAGCCCACGGCUCAACCGUGGAGGGUCAUUGGAAACUGGGAAACUUGAGUGCAGAAGAGGAAAGUGGAAUUCCAUGUGUAGCGGUGAAAUGCGCAGAGAUAUGGAGGAACACCAGUGGCGAAGGCGACUUUCUGGUCUGUAACUGACGCUGAUGUGCGAAAGCGUGGGGAUCAAACAGGAUUAGAUACCCUGGUAGUCCACGCCGUAAACGAUGAGUGCUAAGUGUUAGGGGGGUUUCCGCCCCUUAGUGCUGCAGCUAACGCAUUAAGCACUCCGCCUGGGGAGUACGACCGCAAGGUUGAAACUCAAAGGAAUUGACGGGGACCCGCACAAGCGGUGGAGCAUGUGGUUUAAUUCGAAGCAACGCGAAGAACCUUACCAAAUCUUGACAUCCUUUGAAAACUCUAGAGAUAGAGCUUUCCCCUUCGGGGGACAAAGUGACAGGUGGUGCAUGGUUGUCGUCAGCUCGUGUCGUGAGAUGUUGGGUUAAGUCCCGCAACGAGCGCAACCCUUAAGCUUAGUUGCCAUCAUUAAGUUGGGCACUCUAGGUUGACUGCCGGUGACAAACCGGAGGAAGGUGGGGAUGACGUCAAAUCAUCAUGCCCCUUAUGAUUUGGGCUACACACGUGCUACAAUGGACAAUACAAAGGGCAGCUAAACCGCGAGGUCAUGCAAAUCCCAUAAAGUUGUUCUCAGUUCGGAUUGUAGUCUGCAACUCGACUACAUGAAGCUGGAAUCGCUAGUAAUCGUAGAUCAGCAUGCUACGGUGAAUACGUUCCCGGGUCUUGUACACACCGCCCGUCACACCACGAGAGUUUGUAACACCC